rnacentral:rRNA from 1 species
CUGAAAGCAUCUAAGCACGAAACUUGCCCCGAGAUGAGUUCUCCCUGACUCCUUGAGAGUCCUGAAGGAACGUUGAAGACGACGACGUUGAUAGGCCGGAUGUGUAAGCGCAGCGAUGCGUUGAGCUAACCGGUACUAAUGAACCGUGAGGCUUAACCUUACAACGCCGAAGGUGUUU